CAUCCCUUUGCAGCCACCACCUGCUGGUUGCCAGAGCAAAUCCCAAACAGGAAGAAGCAGGAGCAGAGCACUCACCAGGAGGAGGAAUCGGUGUUUCAGGUACUUGUGGGGCUGGAUGCAGCUGUACUGGGGACCCUGGUUGUAGACGGUGCCCGUGGGGUCGAAGAGGGGCACGUGGCCAGCCCUGCCUGUGCACAGGUGGACCUUCUCCAGCUGCAGCUUGUAAGCGGCGUUGAGGUUUUGUUCGGGGUGCCAGAGCACACGCCCGUACAGGAUCUGCCCUGGGGAGGUCGGGACAAAGAGGGGCAGGUGAAAUUUCCCAAGCAGGAAAACGCUGCUAGAGCCAAGUGUCCGUGUUCAGAAGGGUUUGAGUUGUUUGGGAAGGGCUCGGUGUGUGGGACUGACAAAACGUGGUGCCAGAGCACGCUGUUCUUUCACAGGGCUGUAAGAUGUCAAUUACUGCUGUAGAAGAGGCAAAGCUACAUGUGGGUUUUGCCCUUUCCUCUCCAGGGAAUGGAAGCUGUGAAAGCAGGAACACUGGGCACAAGCAGAAGAGGAGAGGUAAAUCCUACCCUUGGAAAAGCCCCCUUGUAAUCCAUUUCUGCCAGAGACCUUUCUGAUUUGGUGGGGUCCAUUAGAAAAACCUUCUCGUUGUUACAGAGCUGAAACUCUGUGUUCAGGGAGUAAACAACUGGAAUUGGGCGGUUUGUCUGCUGGAAGGAGAUCGGGAUCAAAACCUGCAAUUGGGACAAGGAAGAACACAAAGGGGAGAUGAGGUUUGGACAGGUGUGCACCCCAAAGGGGCCGAGCCUGCCCUCCUGCCCUCUUACCGCUCGGGAGCGUGAGCCGUGCAGGGCAGGGGCUCGGCCCCAAGCUCUGCCCACGGCUGCGUGGGCUGCACCGUGCAGAGGAUCAGGAAGAUGGUGUAUUCUCCAGAGUAAAUCUUCCUGUUGUAGGAGCUGGUUGCUCUCCAGAGCUGGUAGGGAGAAUCAAAAGUCUGAGCGCUCCACA
rnacentral:lncRNA from 1 species